GAUGAACGCUGGCGGCGUGCUUAACACAUGCAAGUCGAACGGGAAACCUUUUAUUGAAGCUUCGGCAGAUUUAGCUGGUUUCUAGUGGCGGACGGGGGAGUAACGCGUGGGUAACCUGCCUUAUACAGGGGGAUAACAACCAGAAAUGGUUGCUAAUACCGCAUAAGCGCACAGGACCGCAAGGUCCGGUGUGAAAAACUCCGGUGGUAUAAGAUGGACCCGCGUUGGAGUAGCUAGUUGGCAGGGUAACGGCCUACCAAGGCGACGAUCCAUAGCCGGCCUGAGAGGGUGAACGGCCACAUUGGGACUGCGACACGGCCCAGACUCCUACGGGAGGCAGCAGUGGGGAAUAUUGCACAAUGGGGGAAACCCUGAUGCAGCGACGCCGCGUGAAGGAAGAAGUAUCUCGGUAUGUAAACUUCUAUCAGCAGGGAAGAUAGUGACGGUACCUGACUAAGAAGCCCCGGCUAACUACGUG
rnacentral:rRNA from 1 species